UGCAGGUGAUGAAGCUGGAGAAAACAAGCAAGCCCUUGUCAAAUUGGUAACUUGUCAGAGGGAGAAAGGCUUCAAUCUCCGCUAGUGAAGAUAGAGUUGAUGACAAAGACGAUGAUACAGAUAAUUUUGAAGAGUAUCUCGAGGGUAUGUUUCCUUGAUGCUUGCCAGUUGAGGGCCGUCAUAUCUGGAGUUCAGUACAAGAGAAGGAGAUGCGUUCAGUGUCAUUGCAAAGCCUAUUGAGCAAAGAAACAGCGUCCUCCUUUGUCAACUCGGUGUAUAUAAUUUGUUUGUGAAUGAGAGAGUCUAAAUCUUUGGUAGACUUGAUAAGGUGGUUGAACAGCAUGACAUAAGACAAAAUGCAACAUUCAUGGUGCCUCACUGAACACUGUGAAGACGGAUUCUGUGUUGACUUGAAUUAUCAUAUGUGGAAUUUCCAUCACACCAGUAAUGGGGUUGAAGUUUACGUCCAACUUAGCUUUCAUAUAGGAUGGACAUUGAAAUUUGACUCCAAUUUUCUCAAGAUGUGUCACUAGGGGAAAAUCUCUUACUUGGUCAAGAAAAUGUCUGAUUUCCCUCGUCUUCGUGGUAUGAGACGUAAUGAAGUAAUGUGUGCCCCAAGAUAAGCUAGGAUAACCCAUUUUCGAAUCCAACAAGACUCUCUGCUUUGCGAGGGUCUCCCGGGGGUGGGAACGCCUAUUGUAUUUCUUUCUUUCAAGAAAAUAUGAUGUUAGAGGAAAAUCAUUCUUUCUUUCAAGUAAACAUAAUUUGUCAGAAAAACCAAUGGGGAUUUUAUUUCAGAU